GCAACUCAAUUUUAAGGAACUUAUCCUCAAAAUUUUCAACUAAUUUUUUUUUACAUACAAGUGUAAGUUUUUUAGUACGUGUUCUAGUUCUUACAUUCAACUUUGGACGCUAUUUGUGUCAGUCCAAAACAAAAGGGACCUUAUGGCGGUAUUUUUAGGUGGGUUGAUUCUUGUAUUAAUAAUAACUCAAUUUCCGCCACAAGGUCCCUUUUGUUUAAGACUGAUACAUAUAUGUACACUUUUGCAGUUGACUGUAUCUCCCGGAUAUGAUUAUAUUACCAUUCGAAGAUUUAUACUUAAACUUGUUAAAAUCAUAUUACUACGAAAAUGUAAGACUAAAAAAAUACUUAUACCUAAAUACUUCCUUUAAAUGCUUAUUAGUAAUUUAAAUUGUAUUUUGGUAAAUGUUUAUCCAAUAAAUGUUUGAAACUAGA